UGGGGAAUAUUGGACAAUGGGGGGAACCCUGAUCCAGCCAUGCCGCGUGUGUGAAGAAGGCCUUAUGGUUGUAAAGCACUUUAAGCGAGGAGGAGGGUACUGGUAUUAAUACUACCAGGUACUGGACGUUACUCGCAGAAUAAGCACCGGCUAACUCUGUGCCAGCAGCUGCGGUAAUACAGAGGGUGCGAGCGUUAAUCGGAUUUACUGGGCGUAAAGCGUGCGUAGGCGGCUAAUUGAGUCGGAUGUGAAAUCCCCGAGCUUAACUUGGGAAUUGCAUUCGAUACUGGUUAGCUAGAGUGUGGGAGAGGAUGGUAGAAUUCCCGGUGUAGCGGUGAAAUGCGUAGAGAUCUGGAGGAAUACCGAUGGCGAAGGCAGCCAUCUGGCCUAACACUGACGCUGAGAUACGAAAGCAUGGGGGGCGAACAGG
rnacentral:rRNA from 1 species